UGAUUGUGUGCCAGUGGAGGGAUGAAUAGAGCGGCGUAUGGUCACGCGUGUCCAGCAUGCGCACAUACAACUCUAUGCGUUUCAUCAGGAUGAUCGGGGCUCAUGCGAAGGAUAUUAUUUGUCCAGAGAGCACACAUUUGUCUUAACAUCGUUGUUCUUGGACUUGUGGACUACUGGGCCUCUUACAACCUUGUAAAUUCUAAAUUUAUUCAUUCUUUUGCUGGGUUUAAAGUAGCUCGAAAGCUGCUUUUGAUCCAGUAGGUACAGUUGUAGCCUACUAAAAGAAAGCGCGUCCAAUUUGAUAAAAGUCAAAGGAAGCAACUGAUAGCCUACAUUGUUUAGAAAUAACACGUAAAAGUUCUUAUAUUAAAGAAUCAGUGCUUUGACUUCAGGGAAAUAAACAUGUCCAGCAGAAGUAUCGAGUGGGAGCAUUUCGAGGAGCGCGAGAAGAGUCACCGUUCUCCGCGCGGCAGCGCCGGUACUCACUCCGGCUCGCGGGGUAACGGGCUCGUGCCAAGUCCCGCACACAGCGCGCACUGUAGCUUCUACCGCACGCGCACCCUGCAGUCGCUCACCACCGAGAAGAAAGCGAAGAAAGUUCGCUUUUAUCGAAACGGCGACCGAUAUUUCAAGGGCUUGGUGUACGCGGUGUCCCAUGACAGAUUCAGGUCAGUGGAUGCGCUGCUGAUGGAGCUGACCCGCUCUCUGUCGGACAAUGUAAACUUACCACAGGGAGUCCGGAGCAUCUACACUAUAGACGGGACGAAGAAGAUCACCAGCCUGGAUGAGUUAAUAGAAGGAGAGAGCUAUGUGUGCUCCUCAAACGAACCCUACCGUAAAGUGGACUACACCAAGAACGUUAACCCAAACUGGUCGGUCAACGUGAAAACGGUCAUGUCGCGCUCGCUACCGUCACUUAUCACCACUAAGAAUGAGCAGAGAGAACGGGAGAGCAAAGACUUCAUCAAACCCAAGCUGGUGACGGUCAUCCGUAGCGGCGUCAAACCGCGCAAGGCCGUCCGGAUCCUACUGAACAAAAAAACGGCUCACUCCUUUGAGCAGGUGCUCACGGACAUUACCGACGCCAUUAAACUGGACUCGGGGGCCGUGAAGAGACUCUAUACUCUGGAAGGCAAACAAAUUACAUGUUUGCUGGAUUUUUUCGGGGAGGAUGACGUGUUCAUUGCAUGCGGGCCUGAGAAAUUCCGCUAUGCACAGGAUGAUUUUGUGUUGGAUCACAGUGGUAAGGCUUCUGCAGCCUUUCUAACCGAGUGUCGAGUAAUCAAGUCGUCUUACUCUCCUCGUUCUCCUGCCCCUGUGAGAUACUCUGGAAUUAAAAGUCCAGGUGUGACCCGACGCAGCAAAUCCCCUGGAUCAGUGAGAAGAACUGCAGGACACUUCUCUAGUCAGUCUCCAGUUAAAUCACCAAUAAAUGGAGCACCCAACAGCCAAAUCACAACCCCCAAAUCUGCCAAAUCCUCCAGCUCCUCCCCAACCAGCCCCCGCAGCAUGCGCAACUUUAAGUUUAGUUGCAACAAGCGGAUGGGAGUCCCCCUCCGUCUCACUCGACAGAUUCCAGCACAUCACUCUUCUAUAACCAAUGUGAACGGCUCCUCUGAGCAGCCCCAGCAACAUAACAACAGUGUGAGCCCUGAAGUUAAUGGCAAUCGGAACCUUGCUGCCUCCACUAUUUUGGACAAGUACAAAAUUGGCAAAGUUAUAGGUGAUGGAAACUUUGCUGUUGUAAAGGAGUGUGUUGAGCGAUGCACCGGAAAGGAGUUUGCACUAAAAAUCAUUGACAAAAACAAAUGCCGUGGAAAAGAGCACCUGAUCGAGAAUGAGGUGGCGGUGCUGAGGCGUGUGAAGCAUCCUAAUAUAAUUAUGCUGAUUGAGGAGGUGGAUACGCCCACUGAGCUCUAUCUAGUCAUGGAACUUGUGAAGGGUGGAGAUCUAUUUGAUGCAAUCACCUCCUCCACAAAAUACACUGAAAGAGAUGCUAGUGCAAUGGUUUUCAACCUGGCUGCGGCUCUCAAAUAUCUGCACAGAAUGAGUAUCGUCCAUCGAGACAUCAAACCUGAGAAUCUGCUGGUGUGUGAGUACCCUGAUGGCACCAAGUCUUUAAAGCUGGGUGAUUUUGGCUUGGCCACAGUGGUAGAGGGGCCGCUGUACACUGUGUGUGGAACACCCACUUACGUAGCCCCAGAGAUCAUAGCGGAGUCAGGCUACGGGUUAAAGGUGGACAUCUGGGCAGCUGGUGUGAUUACCUACAUCCUACUGUGUGGCUUCCCACCAUUCCGCAGUGAAAACAACUUUCAGGAAGACCUUUUUGAUCAGAUCCUGGUGGGCCGCUUAGAGUUUCCUUCACCCUUCUGGGACAAUAUCACAGAUUCUGCUAAAGAGCUGAUUGGUCAUAUGCUGCAUGUGAAUGUGGAGGCCAGAUACACUGCAGAAGAUGUUCUCUGUCAUCACUGGGUCACUGUAAAUGAGGAUACUGCAAUGGAUAACAAUAUGAAGAUGGAGGUGGCAGGUAAACUCAAAAAGCACUUUAACUCUGUGCAGAAACAGAGCAACACUACUCCUGGAGUCUCUGUGAUUAUGGUGAGAACACACACUGAUGUUUGUGAUAGUUUGCGCUUAAAAACACAAUCCUCAUAUUCCUGGGCUGGGUUUCCCGAAACCUUCUUAACGCUACGCCACUCUUAAGUUAUACCUUAAAGAUGGGGUACACACGCAGUUUCUGCCAAUCUCAUAUUAAUGUUGAGUACCUAUACAGUAGUAUUGCAUACUUUGUAUAUUCAAAGAGUAUUUAGUUUGAUCAAAUUUAUAAAAGAGAGAUAUAGCUGUAUGAUUAUUUCCGGAAAAAGACGAGCUGCUGGAGGCAAGCAGGGGCGACGGAACUACAUCACGAGCACACAAUACAUCAUCACAAUAUCCCUUCGUGUUGUUUACAUUAUGCACAUACGCGCCGAUUGCCAACAAAACACAGACAUAUGAGUUUGAUUUACAACGUGAGGUUCAUGUCCGGCAUCUUUUAGCGCUGGGACCGCACCAUCUAUCAGUUUUAAACGAUCUCCAAAUUCAGCGUUAUAUCCACCGUUUAUAAAACACUCAUCACUGAAAUGCAGUGUGCAAACAAACACAGCUAAACUUCCGUCAGCUGAGUGAACCGGCAUAGAUGGACGUUGUAACGCGUGGCCUUGCUCUUUAUCUCCCGCUAGCGCGUGGUCCUUCGCUCGGUGGAUGAUGCGUGGGCUUGCUUUUCCAGGAGAAUGGCCAAUAAAAGGAAUAGGUUACGAAACAGGGAUCCAGGCUUAUAAAAAACCGAAACAAGUUGGAGUGCUGGGGGAGUGUAUCGAGCACAGAAAUACUACGUCAUACGUCCAACUCAUUUUUUAACAAGUUGACCAUGUUAAGCAUGAGAUGCCAGCAGGCUUAACAGUGUAAAGAAGUCAGAAUGCAUGAAAUAGCAUGUUACCCCAUCUUUAAGAGUGGUAGCGAUAUAUUCUUCAGAAUGACGUAGUGAUACAAAGGUUUUGGGAAACCCAGCCCUGGUCUCUACUGAUUAGUAUUUGGAUUACACAUAAUUCCAACACAUAGCGUCACUGAAAUUCCAGCUGCUGUAUAAAAUACAAAUCAAUCAGUUUCUGGCCCCAACGCUCAUGAUUUACAUAACUGACAAAUCUCAGCAAGAGCAUUAGGGAUUAUUGUAUUGUAAGCAAGCACAUCACAAAAUAUGCCAGAUCUAUGAAAUUAGAAAAGUCUUCUGGGAACAGCACACUGGCCCCAGAGCUUUCACAGUGCUUGACUACGGCAGAAUAACUCAUCAUAAUCCUUUUAUUAUUUGGCAGAAUGUGCUCUUUGAGGCACGAGUGAAGCAUUUUCAGCCAUUUCCACCCUCACAUUCAACUGAGCUCUCAUUCCAAACACAUUGAACAAGGAAGUGAUGGUGUUAAUACUCAUUUGUGCACCUUCUGCACCAUACUCUGCCUUGUGUCUCAGUUCGUCUCCCUGUUAGUCUCUGUUGUAUUCAAUGUUUUUAGUGGUCUGUCGUGCAGCUUCAUUGCUACAUAUUGUUUGUUCACUUAUUCUUAAACUUUGGACUAGGAAAAGUGAUCUUAAAUUAAAGAUCACAGUCUACAUUUAAACAGAAACAUCCUUUUUUAUUAUUAUUUUAAUAAACAUUUACUCGGUAACACUUUACAUUUGUUAAAAGGAUUGUCCACCCAAAAAUGAAAAUUCUGUCAUGAAUUACUCACCCUCAAGUUGUGACAAACCUGUAUACAAAAUUUGGUUGAACACAAAUAAAGAUAGAUAGAUAAUAGAUGGAUGAAUGUUACCAACUGAGAUUUCUGGGGCAUAAUUGACUACCAUAGUAGGAAAACUUAUUGUAUAAUCAAGAAUUUAGGAAAGCAAACAGUUCUGGGGCACCUUUGACUACCAUUAAAAUUUUCCUACAGUGGUAGUCAAAAAUCUCAGUUGCUAACAUUCAUCCAAAUAUCUUUGUGUUCAACCAAACAAAGAAAUGUAUACAGGUUUGGAACAACUUGAGGUUGAGUAAUUCAUGACAGAAUUUUCAUUUUUUGGUGGACUAUCCCUUUUUACGCUCUAGCAUCCAUCAACCAACAAUAAACAUUAUAUUUUAUAGCAUUUAUUAAUCUUUGUUAAUGAUAAUUAAUAUAAAUACACAUUUUGAAAAACGUGUAGCAAAUAGUAAACUAAGGUUAAUAAAUGCUGUAUGUUAAUGAAGGUAGUAAACUAAUGUUAUGAAUAAAACCUUAUUAUAACGUGUUACCAUUUACUUUACUUUUUGGUUUAAAUAUUAGUUCCUCCACUUGAAAGAAAUUCCUCUUUUUAGCCCAGCAUAUAUGUCAUUUUUGGAGAAAAUUGUUUUAUUAUAGCAUAUAAAUAUACAUUUUAAUACAUUGUAAUAUAUUGCAAUAUAAUAUUGUAAUGCAUUAUAUUUAAAUUUUUUAAAAAUAAGAAAUUAUUAUUGCUCAUUUUCCAUUGAAAAACAAAAGGAGUGUUCUGGAGCAAUUUUUUAAAAGCAGCAGUGGGGACUCUGCCUGAAUGUGUAUUGAUGUUAAUCUCAUUUGACAGUUUGAACUGUAAAGGGCAGUAUCUACACCCCCUUGCUUUCCCGAGACCCGAAGUGAUGUCUGCCACUGGAAAUUGGGUAUUUGACUCCAAGUCUAAACCUGUUUUUAAUAUGCUGCAGUUCUUUAUGACUCUGUACUAAAACACUCAAGUCUGUCUAAAAUCUGAGCUUGACCAAGAACUCUGUAGAUUUUGACUGACAUUUGUUAAUUCUCACAGGGCUUAUUUUAUUUAGCCUGGUCUUGCUUCUAAUUCCAGUCUCUUUUCAAUCUUGCCAUUUUUACAUUCCACUCCAUGGCUGUUUUAGAUAGCUACUUUGUCACAUUGUUUUCGUUGCACAUUAUUGUAUAAUGUUUUUUCUGGGCUCUAGCUGGAAGGUUUGUAUUGGCGUGCAUGCAUUACUGACCGAAUUAACACAGCAAUGCGAUAGCUUCUCUCUCUUUCUGUCAAGUAAUCCAGAGACAGUUUACUGGCAGUAUUUUCACCUCAUGCCAUUGCCAUCUCAAUUGGAAAGAAAAUGGUUUAAACAUGUAAAAAACCUGCCACCUUCUGGCCAAGUGCUAUAAAAUAAAACAAUCAAUCUACCUGUCAAUUCUUUAGAUGACAGAGAUGGACAGAUGCAAAAUUAUUCCCAGAAAUUGCCUUGGAUGAAAUAUUUACUGAAGGUUUUUGAAAAUACAUCAAAUGGCAUUUUGUUUAUUUUUGCAGCCGCUAUAUUUACUGGUUGUAGUCACUUUGCCAGUUUUCUUUGCGUUACUGACGUUAGACUUUAGAUCAUGAUAUAACGGGGUAAUUUACGCAAAAUUCAGGCAUUUGCCGAACAACCUUGUUCCAAACCUGUAUGUUGUUAAUACUUCUGUGGUCCAUAAAUCUUUACUGAUAAUCUUUUGCAGCUCUUACAUCAAAUGUGCCACUGAAUUUACUUAAAUUGAAUCGUUUACCACACAAAGCUAUAAGGUUUCAGAAAAGUUAAAAUAUAAAGAACACGUCGCACGGGCUAUUUUUAUUCUGCUUUUAUAGCCUGUGGAAGAGAGUGUUUAAAAGACCUAUACAGCACGUGAAGAUACUUAUUUACAAAAUGAAUAUGGGUUUGGAAUAACAUUAGUUUUUUUUAUAAAUUAUCCCUAAAGUGGCUACUUUAAUUAAGUGUCCCAAUUUAGGACCCGACACUGGUAUUAAUUAUGUAGUCCUUGUGUUAGAGGUUAUAUGUUAGAACGGUGUGUAUGAAUUUGUGCUGUAUGUGCUCUGUGAGUAAGACUAGUCUCUGUCCUCUGCUUCUGCUUUCCCCUUGGCAUUGCUAUUCUCUGACUAGCUCCAAGGCAAUGAACACAGCUCUAGAUAAGGAAACCAUCCAGUUUACUCGUCUUCGCCAGGAUCGCAGUUCCCCUCUAGGAAAGAGCCCCUCCUCCACACAGCCAGAGAGAAGACGCUCCUACAA